rnacentral:misc_RNA from 1 species
GAUGAAGAACGUAGCGAAAUGCGAUACGUAAUGUGAAUUGCAGAAUUCAGUGAAUCAUCGAAUCUUUGAACGCAUAUUGCGCUCUCUGGUAUUCCGGAGAGCAUGCUUGUUUGAGUAUCAGUAAACACCUCAACUCCCUUUUCUUUUUUGAAAUUGGAGCUGGACUUGAGUGAUCCCAACGCUUUCUUCCAAGAAAGUGGCGGGUUGCUUGAAAUGCAGGUGCAGCUGAACUUUUCUCUGAGCUAUACGCAUAUCUAUUUAGUCUGCCUAAAAAACAGAUUAUUACCUUUGCUGCAGCUAACAUAAAGGAGACUAGUUCUUGUGCUGACUGAUGCAGGAUUCACAGAGACAGCUUCGGCUGACUUUGUAAACUCGAUCUCAAAUCAAGUAAGACUACCCGCUGAACUUAAGCAUAUCAAUAAGCGGAGGA